rnacentral:rRNA from 1 species
GACGAACGCUGGCGGCGUGCUUAACACAUGCAAGUCGUACGGUAAGGCCCUUUCGGGGGUCCACGAGUGGCGAACGGGUGAGUAACACGUGAGUAACCUGCCCACAACUUUGGGAUAACGCUAGGAAACUGGUGCUAAUACUGGAUAUGUGCUCCUGCUGCAUGGUGGGGGUUGGAAAGCUCCGGCGGUUGUGGAUGGACUCGCGGCCUAUCAGCUUGUUGGUGGGGUAGUGGCCUACCAAGGCGGCGACGGGUAGCCGGCCUGAGAGGGUGACCGGCCACAUUGGGACUGAGAUACGGCCCAGACUCCUACGGGAGGCAGCAGGGGGGAAUAUUGCACAAUGGGCGCAAGCCUGAUGCAGCAACGCCGCGUGCGGGAUGACGGCCUUCGGGUUGUAAACCGCUUUCAGCAGGGACGAAGCUUUUUGUGACGGUACCUGCAGAAGAAGCACCGGCUAACUACG